rnacentral:rRNA from 1 species
UAGUCCACGCCGUAAACGAUGAUAACUAGAUGUCGGGGGUUGCCUCUCGGUGUCGCAGCUAACGCAUUAAGUUAUCCGCCUGGGGAGUACGGCCGCAAGGCUAAAACUCAAAUGAAUUGACGGGGACCCGCACAAGCGGUGGAGCAUGUGGUUUAAUUCGAUGCAACGCGAAAAACCUUACCUACUCUUGACAUACUUGGAAGCUCUUGUAAUGAGAGUGUGCCUUUUGGAGCCAAGAUACAGGUGCUGCAUGGCUGUCGUCAGCUCGUGUCGUGAGAUGUUCCGUUAAGUCGGAUAACGAGCGCAACCCUUACCCUUAUUUGCCAGCGAUUCGGUCGGGAACUAUAAGGGGACUGCCGGUGAUAAACCGGAGGAAGGUGAGGACGACGUCAAGUCAUCAUGGCCCUUACGAGUAGGGCUACACACGUGCUACAAUGGGGAAUACAAACGGACGCUAAGCCGCGAGGUGGUGCUAAUCCUAGAAAGUUCUUCGUAGUCCGGAUUGGAGUCUGC